rnacentral:rRNA from 1 species
CUAACCGGUACUAAUGAACCGUGAGGCUUAACCUU